UGUUGAGGGUCAGCGUGGUGCAUGUGUUGUUGCCUACUCUCACCACCUAGGUGUGGCCCGUCAGGAAGUCCAGGAUCCAGUUGCAGAGGGACUUGUUCAGUCCCAGGGUCUUGAGCUUAGUAAUGAGCUUGGAAGGCACUAUAGUGUUGAACGUUGAGCUGUAGUCAAUCAAUAGCAUUCUCACAUAGGUGUUCCUCUUGUCCAGGUGGGAGAGGGCAUUGUGGAGUGCAAUGGAGAUUGCAUCAUCUGUGGAUCUGUUGGGGCGGUAUGCAAAUUAGAGUGGGUAAAGGGUGUCUGGGAUGAUGGUGUUGAUAUGAUCCAUGACCAGCCUUUCAAAGCAUUUCAAAGCUACAGAUGUGAGUGCUUCUCCAUCAGUACCUCUUUGGUCGAUAUCUGACAUUUUGAUGUCCAAGUUCUCCUAUUAUACAAUGGCUCAUCCAAGGGUAGGAGAAACCAUUGUCCUUAUCAACCCCAUAGUGUCUGUCAUUCAUGCAUGCUGACAAGAAGGGUGAAGACAAAGGUAACAACCUCUCCCCUGGGCCAGCCUGACAGAUUUCUGACAUCACAUCACAUUACCACUGGAUGCUUUCCUUUCAAAACAUUAGCUUGUUCUCAAUAAAAUACCUCAGAGGGACCAUGUGUUUUUAGUAUGCGUAAAGAGGUCAUGUGCAGGUUAAGUGUGCAUCUGAAGUUUACACCUGGGAGACACAUUGAGAGGUGUUAUUUUAGGUCUUAUUUGAAGAGCUAGCUCUGCAAGUAUUAGGUCCCAGCUCCACACAGAAUCUCGGUUGAAGCCUCUGGUCGAAUGCACUCAUGUCUCGGGCUUAUUUCCCUAGUGGUCCCCUGAGGUAAACCAUAUCCUCCUCUUCCCCUCUCUCUAGUGACAGAUAAAGCCUUGUUGUUACGCCCUGACCUUAGAGAUCCCUUUAAUUCUCUAUUUGGUUAGGUCCGGGUGUGACUAGGUUGGGCAAUCUAUGUUUUCUAUUUCUUUGUUGGCCUGGUAUGGUUCCCAAUCAGAGGCAGCUGUUUAUUGUUGUCUCUGAUUGGGGAUCAUAUUUAGGCAGCCUUUUCCCACCUGUUGUUUGUGGGAUCUUGUUUUUGUGUAGCUGCCUGUGAGCAACCGAGACUGCCACGGUUCGUUUUUGUCUGUAUUGGUUUUGGCAAAAGAAGCAGGACAGAAGCCCAUCCCGCCUCCAGAGCCAGUCCUGCCUAGCAGCAUGGCCAUUGGUUCAGUGUCCAUGGCUGUGACCAAGAUUGGGGCUCUACUGCAAGUACAUCACAGUUCUGAGGAACAAACAGGUCGUAGGCCUGGGAGUUGUGUAUGUCAAACUGGGAGGUCUGAGUCGUGGAGAGCGGCUGACUAAAUACAACCGUCUGAUUUCUAUAGAGGAAGAAUUGGCCCAGCAGGGAAUACUGGGUAUGGCUUUUUCCUCUCGCCUUUUCAGCCAGUAGAAAGAGGGGGCUAGACAAAGCUAUGGGUAGGAGAGGCAGUAAUGGCUGGGAUGGUGAGAAUACAUUUCUCCCUGGACGUGAAAGGAAACUGUGUGUCAGGAAUCAUGAAGAGGGGGAAAAGGAGCUGGCGAAAACCCUACCUUGGUUCUGUUAAUUGGCCACCUAAUUACGCCUCCCAAAAAAGGGACAGGGAUAUUGGGCAAUUACUGAAAAGCGAGUUCAUCUUUGUAUAAAAUAAAGAAUUAACUUCUGCACCAAUUGCAUAUACAGGACUCUUGUAUAUCGUUUGGCUCUGGCUAUGUGGAAUAUAUAUAUUUUUAGUGCUGUCACAGCAGUAGAAAUCAUCGGACCUAGAAUAG